AGUGUUUGAUGAAUUGUUAAGUUGCCAAUAGUUGAAUUCAUAUAGAAGAGUCUUACUAACGAAUUUGUUAAGUCUUUCAUGUACUGUGUUUCAAAACUGCAUUUGUAUUCACUAAGGACAUUCAUGUUUUCAACCAGCACUAGCGCUUUAGUUGUAUGACGUACGGUUUGUAACUAAACUGCAUACUGAUUGCACCUGGACAGUCGAAGUAUAACACAAUUUCAAGUUUCAAAUUGUGUCUUUCUUCUAAGAUUGUCACCACUUCUUUCUCUAAAUGCGAGGUCGUUUAUUCUUUAGAGGAAAUAGUCAAACAGAUGCGGUGUUGGGGCGGUGCCGAUCAAUGAGGAGCUACAUUGUGAGACAAGCAGCACACACAUGUCCUGCAAGUGGCCGGACCUAGGCGUAUCGGUCGACAAUGGUACUUCACUAGAGAGGAGCGAUCUGCAAGAGUUGGCUGCUAUGUAUAUAUAUGUUACGGGCCAGCACACAGAUUUUUUGCCGUCGAGAUCAACUUCCUACACACAAGUGAAUUACUUCUGGAGUUCAAUUGUUACUACAUUGAAGAGAAAUACGAUAGCAUCUAAUAAUCCACUA